GAGCCAAAAAGCUAGCUUAAGCACCUUAAUAACUUGAUAAUAUAUAUAAUUAAACAAAGUCUAAAUGAGAAAACUAAACCAUUUUUAUGCCUAAGUACGGGAGACGGAAAGG
rnacentral:rRNA from 1 species